rnacentral:rRNA from 1 species
UGUCAUUAGAACUCAUUAAUGAUACAUCCUGCCCAGUGAUUUAUUAAACGGCCGCGGUACCCUGACCGUGCAAAGGUAGCAUAAUCAUUUGCCUAUUAAUUGUAGGCUAGAAUGAAAGGACAAACGCGAGUAAACCUGUCUCUAUUAAGAAACUAAAACUUUAUCUUUGAGUGAAGAAGCUCAAAUUUAUUCGCAGGACAAGAAGACCCUAUAGAGCUUUACCCUAUAUAUUACAAAAAAAUAAAAUAUGGUUCGGUUGGGGCGACCAGGGGACAAAAAACAACCCUAAAUAAAUCCGACUUCCUAGUCACCAAAAGAUCCUUAACCAAGAUCAACGAAUCAAGCUACCUUAGGGAUAACAGGCUAAUCCUCUUUAAGAGCCCGUAUUAACAAGAGGGGUUGGCACCUCGAUGUUGGCUUAGGACACCUCUAUGAUGCAGCAGUCAUAGCAAGUUGGUUUGUUCAACCAUUAAAAUCCU